rnacentral:rRNA from 1 species
UACGGAGGAUGCAAGCGUUAUCCGGAAUUAUUGGGCGUAAAGCGUCCGCAGGUGGCACUUCAAGUCUGUCGUCAAAGACCGGGGCUCAACCCUGGAAAGGCGAUGGAAACUGAAAGGCUAGAGAGGGGUAGGGGUAGAGGGAAUUCCCAGUGUAGCGGUGAAAUGCGUAGAGAUUGGGAAGAACAUCGGUGGCGAAAGCGCUCUACUGGACCUCAUCUGACACUCAGGGACGAAAGCUAGGGGAGCGAAUGGG